rnacentral:rRNA from 1 species
UACGUAGGGUGCAAGCGUUUGUCCGGAAUUAUUGGGCGUAAAGAGCUCGUAGGCGGUUUGUUGCGUCGGCUGUGAAAUCCCGAGGCUCAACCUCGGGUCUGCAGUCGAUACGAGCAAACUAGAGUGUUGCAGGGGAGACUGGAAUUCCUGGUGUAGCGGUGAAAUGCGCAGAUAUCAGGAGGAACACCGGUGGCGAAGGCGGGUCUCUGGGCAAACAACUGACGCUGAGGAGCGAAAGCGUGGGGAGCGAACAGG